GGCAGACGCCCAGACAUCCCAUCCUCCAGAUGGAGCAGAGAGGACAGGUCCUGCUGGCAGCUGCUUCCCUCAUGCUCCCUCCCGCCGCGUCCCUCUAACAAGGUGGAGGGUCCAAUAAGCUAAAUUCUCAUCUGUGCGCUUUAAGGGAGGCAGCCAAAGAUGCAGAUACCUGUUGGGAGUGAUGUGGUUACACAGAGCAGAGAGCAGAGGAUUCACUGUGAUGCUUUAUGGUUUCCUUUGUCCCUUCAUUUACCUGCAGGAGGACUUCAGCCAAGUAAGAAUAGCGUCUCUGGAAGACAGUUCUCCAAGACCCGGCUUUCGGGAAGUGAGCAGGAUCUAGAUCCCUGACCAGGGAUUGAACUUGGGCCCUGUGGUGUUGCUUGGAGCCCCAGCCAGUGCACCACCAGGAAGGUCCCAGCAUCUUUGCCUUUCAAAUGGAGAUGAUACCUGUAGUCUGUGCAGACUGAAUCAAUGAGUUAAUGUUUGUGAACAUUUGGAGCAGUUCCUGGCACCUACUAAGUGCAUUGUCAUUUCUUCCCUGGCUAAGCGGGUACCGAAUUAAAUUGUAUGGACUCUGCUUUAGCCCUAGCUUGGCCAAGGCACCCAGCCUCCGAGGAAACAGUUCUUUUUCCCUUUGGGUUCGAGCUGUUGGAAUAAUGAAAUGGAAGCCGAGAUCGAUGCUGCACAGGCUUUAUUCAGUGGCCAAAACAUGGAGAAGUGGG
ensembl:lncRNA